UAUCUCUGUAGAGUCUGCAUAUCAAUAAGCGGAGGAAAAGAAACUAACUAGGAUUCCCUUAGUAACGGCGAGUGAAGCGGGAAGAGCUCAAAUUUGAAAUCUUCAAGGUUCUACCUUGACGAAUUGUAGUUUAUAGAAGUGUUUUCUGUUAGAGGAGUAGCAAAAGUUCCUUGGAAUAGGGACAUCAUAGAGGGUGAGAAUCCCGUAUUUGGUUAUUCCUUCCUAGCGUUGUGAUACACUUUCAAAGAGUCGGAUUGUUUGGGAAUGCAGUCCAAAAUGGGUGGUAAAUUUCAUCUAAAGCUAAAUAUUGGACGAGAGACCGAUAGCGAACGAGUACCGUGAGGGAGAGAUGAAAAGAACUUUGAAAAGAGAGUUAAACAGUACGUGAAAUUGUCAAAAGGGAAGCGUUUGACACCAGUGUUGUUUUUCCGAAAAUCAAUUAAGAGUGGCUUGAUUUUGUGUUGUAUUGACCUUAUCAGCUUUCUUCACUCUUUUUCGAGUCUUUCUUAAUGCACUUUUCGGUUAACAAGUCAACAUCAAUUUCUUUUGUUGUAAAAGGGUAUUUGGAAGGUGGCUUUCUUUUCGGAGAAAGUGUUUAUAGCCUUAUACCUCUACAAUCGGAGAGAUUGAGGUCUGCAGCGUAGAUCCUUCGGGGCUAGAUACACUUGUGCUAAGUUAUAGCUUUUCAUAGACAACUUGUUGACUAUGUUUAGUCAUGUAGCUUACCCGCUUGUGCUAUUUUACCUACGCUUAGGAUGUUGAUGUGAUACUGCGAGCA
rnacentral:rRNA from 1 species